GACAGAGGGUGCAAACGUUGCUCGGAAUCACUGGGCGUAAAGGGCGUGUAGGCGGGCAGGUAAGUCGGGCGUGAAAUCCCUGAGCUCAACUCAGGAACUGCACUCGAAACUACUUGUCUUGAGUACCGGAGAGGAGAGCGGAAUACCUGGUGUAGAGGUGAAAUUCGUAGAUAUCAGGUGGAACACCAGUGGCGAAGGCGGCUUUCUGGACGGUAACUGACGCUGAGACGCGAAAGCGUGGGGAGCAAACAGG
rnacentral:rRNA from 1 species